CACGUAGGGCGCAAGCGUUGUCCGGAAUUAUUGGGCGUAAAGAGCUCGUAGGCGGUCCGUCACGUCCGCUGUGAAAACCCAGGGCUCAACCCUGGGCUUGCAGUGGAUACGGGCAGACUAGAGGUAGGUAGGGGAGAAUGGAAUUCCCGGUGUAGCGGUGAAAUGCGCAGAUAUCUGGAGGAACACCGGUGGCGAAGGCGGCAUCCUGGACCAAUUCUGACGCUGAGGAGCGAAAGCCAGGGGAGCAAACGGG
rnacentral:rRNA from 1 species